GCCAACUACCUUGUGGUGAAAUGGUUCAAGUGAUGUAAUUUUAUCCAAUGCCUAUGCAUUGAAAACCUUGCACUUGCCCUUCACGUGUUAAAAGAAAUUAGGGUAGGGUUUUAGUGUGUCUUUCUGUAUGAUCCUGUCACCCCGUUUUUAAUUUGAUGCGUUUUGCCGUAGCCCAGGGCAAGACGGGAGCAGCAACCAUGGCGGUCACUUUAACACAAACUAAAAUAGAAUUAUCUAAUUUCUGGUGUUGCGAAGAUAUGUGUGAAGCAGUCCUUAGAACUUCUGCAGGAUGCCAGACUGGUGAUUCUCGGAGCACGGCUGAACGCGGAUUUCGAACUCAUUGAGUUGGCGGAAGCGGACAGUUUUUUGUCCGGUUCCUCUGAGGAGGUCGUGGUUCUAUGCUAAUAAUGCCGAUAAGCGUUUCAAGCAGUGCUUAAUGAGCCUUAGGAAUGGCACACAGAAGGUUGUCUAUGAGCAUCAUCCUCGGCCUAAGCAACUUACAGUUUAGAAUGGUUUACACCUUGAGCUACAAAGCCUUAUUGAAGAACGGACAGAUGGAGAGCGCUCUGGUGGCCAGGUGUUUGUAAAACAAAUGGCAACUGCGCUGUUAAAGGCUCUCCAUAUUAACACUGUUCUGUAAUGAAGUUAUGGAUGUCUCAUAUGAUAUUUGAAAGAAAGUACGGUCUUGUAUUAUCUCUAUAUUUUUGUGUGAAGAUCGUUAAGAACAGUUGAAAUGAAAAUAUACGUAGUGCUUCACUAUCUUUGUUGCAGAAAGGCCUUGUAAAAAGGAACCGUGAAAUGCAUAUUUAGGAGGUGUUAAUUAUGCCGAGAGGCGUUCUUUUGCUGUGGUGGAAAGAUUCCGUGCAAACAAUAACCCUUCAGUAUGAAAUUGACCCUUCAAUAAUGAAUUUGAUGUCUGCAGUAAUGGUUAGAUCGAGGCUCGUGAAACCAACCCUCCAUCUUCCACUUGUGACUGUCAAUUAAAAAAACAUGCUUUGUCUUUUUGUAACACCUACCAUUGCUUUCAUAAGUCACUGAUUCUUUCCGGACUGCAUUGGAAUGUGGUGUAUUUCCCAUUCUACCUGUCCUCUAUGCAGGACUAAGGUCCAGCCAGGGCAGGGAUUUGCUGCUGCUGUGGAGAUUAGUGAGGAUGUGGGUUUUCAUUCGAUAGAGGGAGGAACUAGUUCUGAUGCUGUUGAAGUCUAUGCCUCUUGUAUUUGUGCAAAGUAUGUUGGUAAUGAAAGGAGUCGCUUUAUCAGCCCCACUGAUUUCUUGAAUCCUUAUCUCUUGCGUGCAUUGCUGGAGAAAGCUGAGGAAGAGUAUGCGUUUGACCACCAAAUAGGACUAAGCAUCCCCUGUGAUGAAGAUGUUUUCCAAAGUUUGACAUACCUGUUACAGAAAAAUGAUUCAUCACUUGAAAAUUCGGGUGUCGGCGAGCUCAUUCCUAGAAAGACAAUCCUCUCGGACGGUAAAUCUUGUAGAAGAUAAGAGGUGAAAUUUAAAAUCACCAGGCCAAAGAAACAUGUACUUUUUAUAUUAAUUGAGUUUAUGUUUUCCGAGACUGCUGAAGGCUGAAUCUGAUUGUAAUUUCCGUCUUAAUUAGCCUGACAAUGAUGGAAUGGAUUUUAAUUUAUCAAAUUAGCUGGGAUUCAUCUGUUUUGAAACCA